UACGUAGGGAGCAAGCGUUGUCCGGAAUCAUUGGGCGUAAAGCGCGCGUAGGCGGCCCCGUAAGUCCGCUGUGAAAGUCAAAGGCUCAACCUUUGAAAGCCGGUGGAUACUGUGGGGCUAGAGUACGGAAGAGGCGAGUGGAAUUCCUGGUGUAGCGGUGGAAUGCGCAGAUAUCAGGAGGAACACCGGUGGCGAAGGCGGGUCUCUGGGCAACAACUGACGCUGAGGAGCGAAAGCGUGGGGAGCGAACAGG
rnacentral:rRNA from 1 species